rnacentral:rRNA from 1 species
UACAGAGGUCUCAAGCGUUGUUCGGAUUCAUUGGGCGUAAAGGGUGCGUAGGCGGCGCGGUAAGUCGGGUGUGAAAUCUCGGAGCUUAACUUCGAAACUGCAUUCGAUACUGCCGUGCUUGAGGACUGGAGAGGAGACUGGAAUUUACGGUGUAGCGGUGAAAUGCGUAGAUAUCGUAAGGAAGAUCAGUGGCGAAGGCGGGUCUCUGGACAGUUCCUGACGCUGAGGCACGAAGGUCAGGGGAGCAAACGGG